AGUGAACGCUGGCGGUAGGCCUAACACAUGCAAGUCGAACGGCAGCACAGUAAGAGCUUGCUCUUACGGGUGGCGAGUGGCGGACGGGUGAGGAAUACAUCGGAAUCUACUUUUUCGUGGGGGAUAACGUAGGGAAACUUACGCUAAUACCGCAUACGACCUACGGGUGAAAGCAGGGGAUCUUCGGACCUUGCGCGAUUGAAUGAGCCGAUGUCGGAUUAGCUAGUUGGCGGGGUAAAGGCCCACCAAGGCGACGAUCCGUAGCUGGUCUGAGAGGAUGAGCAGCCACACUGUAACUGAGACACAGUGCACACACCUACGGGAGGCAGCGGUGUGGAAAAUUUGAGAAUGGGCGCAAGCCUGAUCCAGCCAUACCGCGUGUGGGAAGAAGGCCUUCGGGUGUUAUAGCCCUUUUGUUGUGAAAGAAAAGCAGCAGGUGAUUAUCCCGCUGUGCUGUCAGUACCCAAAGAAUAAACACCCCGGAGCUUCGUG
rnacentral:rRNA from 1 species